GAUGAACGCUGGCGGCGUGCCUAAUACAUGCAAGUCGAGCGAACGGACGAGAAGCUUGCUUCUCUGAUGUUAGCGGCGGACGGGUGAGUAACACGUGGAUAACCUACCUAUAAGACUGGGAUAACUUCGGGAAACCGGAGCUAAUACCGGAUAAUAUUUUGAACCGCAUGGUUCAAAAGUGAAAGACGGUCUUGCUGUCACUUAUAGAUGGAUCCGCGCUGCAUUAGCUAGUUGGUAAGGUGACGGCUUACCAAGGCAACGAUGCAUAGCCGACCUGAGAGGGUGAUCGGCCACACUGGAACUGAGACACGGUCCAGACUCCUACGGGAGGCAGCAGUAGGGAAUCUUCCGCAAUGGGCGAAAGCCUGACGGAGCAACGCCGCGUGAGUGAUAAAGGUCUUCGGAUCGUAAAACUCUGUUAUUAGGGAAGAACAUAUGUGUAAGUAACUGUGCACAUCUUGACGGUACCUAAUCAGAAAGCCACGGCUAACUACGUG
rnacentral:rRNA from 1 species